rnacentral:miRNA from 1 species
AUAUAUAUGUAUGUGUGUAUAUGUGUGUAUAUAUACACAUACACACAUAUAUAUACACACAUAUAUACA